CAUUAGGAAGCUUGCAACAGCACCAGCCUUUUAAGCUCGAAAAGGAGUAGUACUCCCCAAAUGA
rnacentral:tRNA from 1 species